rfam:Colletotrichum gloeosporioides Cg-14 contig01269, whole genome shotgun sequence.
GGUCUAUUAGUCUAGUUGGUUAGGACGUCGGAUUCUGAUAAACAUCAGUUCCUUCCGUAGGCCCAGGUUCGAAUCCUGGAUGGACCU